rfam:Canis lupus familiaris chromosome 34, whole genome shotgun sequence.
GUGCUCUUUGGUAGGACAUAUACUAAAAUUGGAGCAAUACAGAGAAGAUUAGCAUGGACUCUAUGCAAGGAUGACAUGUAAAAUCAUGAAGCAUUUUAUAUUUUU